UGUGUUGAAAGGAGAGUCUCUCCAUGACUUCUGAUCCGCCUGCAAUAGACCUACUGGCUCGGCAGCAAGUGCAUUAGGCUAAAUAUGCUUCCUCCAUUGACUCUGAAGGUAACAGCCCUAAAUGCCUCAUUAAAUUUUCACGGGUGACUGAGAGAAGCCAUGAGAAAAACACCACGAUAGCAGCGGGGGCGACGGCGGCUGCGCCCCCCCCCAGUGCCUCGGGAGCCCCACGGGGGCCGUGGGCCACCACCCCGCCUCGGGGGGCGAUGGGGGGCAGCGUGGGGCAGCCCAGCCUUGGGGCUGUGGGAUUAGGGAGAGCCGAGGAAGGGCUGGGAGACCGCGUUGGUGGCUUUGUGGCCGGGUUUCACGCGUGGGCAGGGAGCAGACUGACAGAGACCGACUGACAGACCGGGGCGGGCGGCGUGUAGGGGGCGAGCUCCCCGCUCCUGCCGUCCCCCUUCUCCCUGCCCACCAACAGCGCCGAGACCCCCAGCCUUAGGAAAGGAGGGGAAAGAGGAGGAGGAGGAGGAGACCGACCCUCAUCAGCAGCUUGCCUCCACCACACGCCUCCCCUUCUCCCCUCCCUCUGGCCUCAGCGCCGCGCUGGCGGGGGCCGGCGAGGGCAGGCGACGCGGGAAGGCGGCUCUCAGCAUGGACGAGCCAUGUGUAUCCUAAGGAAUAACAGCAGCUGCUGCGCCCACGAUGGGGAGCAGAGGAACGCCAGGAGGAGAGGGCUCGCUGGGGCAGCACACAAAAGGAGCGAAUGAGAUGAACUGUUUGGGUUAUAGAAUCUGAAAGGCUAAAUUAUUUUCUUGGCGAGACGUUCUAAAUGAGCCUGACCGAGAUACUGGAUCUGUGUGAAGAGGACUAAGGAUAUAGGAUGUCAACUGAGACAGAACUUCAAGUGGCUGUUAAAACCAGCACAAAGAAAGACUCCAAAAAGAAAGAGGCACCACCAGGACAGCAGCACCACUGGAGCAGGAGAGAGGCUUCCCUCAGCUGCCUUGUGUUAGGGGCUUGUGUGCUCCCACUGGCACUGCUGGGCACAGGCAGCUCCUAGGAGGAGGUAGGAUUCUUGGUAGAAGGAAGUUUAAAGGAUAGUUUGCUGAAGUUUUAUGUUGUACUGUGGAGACACCACUUUGUUAACGUAAUAGACACCAACAGAGUUCUCUUGUUGACCCUACAGCACGGAGGUAGGUAAGGUAAGCUGAAAGUACUCCAGGACUGCAGACAUUUCAGCGUGCCUGUGGGGUGGUGAAGGGAAAAGUUUGCAUCCAUCACAUGCCAGUUGCAUUCAUACACUGUAACCGAGAGUUUUCAGUAGGAUCCUAUAAAGAAAAGACAUACUUAUUUCCUUGAAAAUGACUAAUUGUAAAAGAAAUUUACUCAAGGAACAUUGUUAGAGGAAGAGAACACAGGUGGUGACACCAGAAAUUAAACUGUGUGCACGCACACUGCUAGAUACUAGGUGUUCUCUCUUCUAAAAUCUGUUACCUUAAAAAAGUGAAAAGGUUUUAUUUUGGUAUCAGAUUCCUAGGUGCAGCACAGCGUUUUUGGGCAGUUGUGCUCCCAAAGUCUUCAGUGGCAAACACAAUCUGACAGCUUGGAGUUUUCUACCUUUAACAGAGAAGUUCAAAAAUGAGAUUAACAGGAAAAUUUGGAUCUAUUAGUAGUAGUAGUUCUAGUUUUAAGAUCCAGUGUAGAUAUACUGCUCUGAAAUAUGUUAUGCCUGUGAAAGAGUAGUUGUGCUCCCAAGGUGCUGUGGUCUUGAUAACAAAAUCCAUUCCGUGGUGUUUUUGGGCCUUGGGCAUCAGACCUGUGGUUCUGGGCAGCCAUUGAGAAAAUGGAGCCAGCAAGGAGAAUAACCUGACUGAGCUGUUCCUGAUUCCUUCAGGACCUGCUUGUUGUACUGAAAGGUACCUAUAAUUA
rnacentral:lncRNA from 1 species